GGGUGACAAAGGAUUCCCUGGUAUUGAAGGGAAACCUGGCAUAAAAGGAGCCAGAGGUCUUGUGGGUGAUCCAGGGUCACCUGGUAGGAAAGGUACCAAAGGAAAACUUGGAUUUCCAGGAGCUGAUGG